CUGGCAGUGAUGAGAAGCGCAGGUGUAUGUACCUCAACUUUUAAUGGGAGCUGAGUGUAGCUGCUGGCUGG
rnacentral:snoRNA from 1 species